ensembl:processed_transcript smim1 small integral membrane protein 1
AAAGUCUAAGGAUCUGACUGACUGCAGAGCUGAUGUCCUGACAACCUUUGACUUUUAGGGGCAGCAGAGAGCUGGAAAUGGAGUCCAAUGGGGCCAGUGUUCAAUAUAACCGCUGGAGUGAAGAUAACAUUACCUUACAAGAACCACAAUCACGCUCCAGACUGCUUGGAAUCUACAACAGAGUGUUCACUGGACGGCUGGUCAUCAUGUUCAAAAUAGCAGCAUCGUUGACAGUGAUGGUUGUCAUUUACAUUGCUGGAUACAUCACAGGGUUCUACGUUCACCAAUGUGGAUAAGAACUCUCUGUACUGAUAAAUAAUGAGAUAUUGGAAAGAAAACUGGUUGUUAUUUGCAAAGUGAAUUAGAUUUUUUAAACUAUACUAAUAUUUAGCUUUUAUUUUGUUUAAAUGUGCUACACAGAAUCACUU